UGCUUGGAGAGCACAGCACAGCACAACUUUUCCAGGGCCUCCUAAACCUGCUGUUGGCCCAGAGCUCAGAAGGUUGGGCUUUGAGGCUGGAAUGUCUGAGCUGAAGCUGGAGAUCUGACUUCACAACUGAUACCAGUUACUUAGAGUGGGACAGGAAGUUAUGAUGAAGUUAUGAUGGCACACUACGGGCAAGUAACUUUGGGAACUCUUCAAAACAAAACAGAAACAUCAAAUGAUACAUCCAAAAAUAUCCAUACAGUAUCUUGUGCUGUCCAGCACAGGCUCAGCAUCUUAGAAAUAAAAGGCAAUUCCAAAAAUCCAAACUGUGUCUCUCCCCACCAGCCUACAUUCCAGCCUCCAUUGGCCUUCGACUGUGCAGCUCAUGGCUAGAUCAGCCUUGCAAAUAUGUUCACAAGAGUCACUAGCCCAUAACACUGGAACGGUCAAUUGGCUUUUCUGCCUUGCUGCUGGAAGAAAAUCUCACCUGCCACAGGUGAGCAGAUGAAAGGCCUGUACAUUAAAAAACAUCCUUCCGCUUGUCUAAAAGGCCACUGAUAGUUAAAGGCCUGGUUACAGAGGAAAGUUUUUGCCUGGCACCUAAAGCUAUAUAAUGAUGGCGCCAAGCGAGCCUGUCUAAUUGUCUAAUUCUUUUCUGAUCGAUACAUUUGGAGAGCUGCUGUUGGAAGAGUUACAACUGCACCACUUCCAAUUAUGAAUCUCUGAGAGCAAAAGGCACACUUGGUGAGGAUGCGAGAGAGGGCCUUCUCAGAGGCUGCUCCCAGACUUUGGAACUCCCUAGAGAGGCUAGACUUCCUCUUUGCUGUCCUUCUGCUGGCAAGUGAAAAUCAUUUUAUUCUGUCAUGCUUUUGGAAAUUAUCUGUUUUAAGGAAAGGGCUUUUAAUAGCGCUGUGCUGUUUUUGCUAUCUGUCUU